UACGUACCGUCCAAACGUUAUUCGGAAUUACUGGGCUUAAAGGGUACGUAGGCGGCGCUGUCAGUCGGGUGUGAAAUCCCAGGGCUCAACCCUGGAACUGCGCCCGAUACUGCAGUGCUUGAGGGAGACAGAGGUAAGCGGAACUGAUGGUGGAGCGGUGAAAUGCGUUGAUAUCAUCAGGAACACCAGUGGCGAAAGCGGCUUACUGGGUCUCUUCUGACGCUGAGGUACGAAAGCCAGGGGAGCAAACGGG
rnacentral:rRNA from 1 species